rnacentral:tRNA from 1 species
GCGAGGGUGCCGGAGUGGUCAACGGGCAAGGUUGAGGGCCUUGUGGCUUAGUGCCUACGCGUGUUCAAACCACGUCCCUCGCA